GGUUGAGCGUUUAAGGCCACGGCAGAAGCACUCAUGGCGUGGCCUUGUCAGAUUCCAACGAAUCUGCAAAUUCUGCU
rnacentral:ribozyme from 1 species